AACCCUUUUAUCCGGGAUAUUGAUUCAUUUAUUUAUUAUCAACCGAUAAUUUAUCUCUUUAGAUCAAGUACAUAACGAUAAUUAAAUCAACGUAUUUUUUGCAUAAAUGAUAUAAUCACUCAUACUUAAAAUCUAGAUAGUUCCGAUUAGAAAAAAAUUAUUGGGAUAGCCGUCAAGUCAUGCAUUAUAGGAUAUUAUUACUCAUAGAUGCUCAUAAUGUGAUCCAAUUAGGUGGUUGCCGACAUUUGAUUGCCACCAUUUUUGAAAAAAAUUAUAGAAUUGAUAAGGUAUGAAAUCAUAACCGUUUAGAUCAAAUAUUCAAAAAAUCGAGUCUGCACCUGCCUUUUAAUCCUAUACAUCAAACUUACUUGGUUCUAAACUAACCUAUUUGUUAUAGGAUAAUGAACGAUAGCCAAACGAUCGCAAACCAAUUAUAAUGAUAAAAAAACAUUCACUUUGUUUGUCUUGCUAUUUUAAUCACUUUCGCUAAAUUUGAAGUAUAUCGGGUAUUGAAAGCCCUUUUAUCAGGACGUUGAUUCAUUAAAAACUAAAAAAUUAUCUGCUUCGAUAAAAUACGUAAUGAUAAUUAAUUUAUUUUAAUUUUUACAUGGAGGAUAUAAUCACUCUAAUGUAAAACAUUGACAGUUCCGAUUCAAAAAAAAAUACUUUGACGACCCACGAUUAAUAUAAUUUUAUGUCAAAAUUUAUUAUUUAUCUCAUAUGAGAUUUUUUUUCAUUUCAAAAUUUUAAUACUUUAUUUUUUUUUUUCCUAACGUUGUUGACUUCACAUGCGGUCAUGCCUGCAGCCUCUUGAGUCUGAUUGAAAAAAAUCAAUCAACUCACACCACAAGCUACACAACUCAGGCUACACACAGAGGCUACACAGUAACACAGCCUACACAACUCACACAUGCUACACCACAACUCACUCACAUCGCCACUGGCUACACAUAUCGCUACUCUCACUCCAAUCCACUCUCUCUCUCUCUUCCGCUCCCUCCAUGGUAAGAUACAUUUGUUUUGCAUUUUCCCUAUUAUUCUUCAGUGGCUUGAUCUUUUGCUGAUCUUCUCAUUCUCUCUCUAUUUCAGUUGUCUUCUCGUGCAAGGUUGAUGAUCAAAUCAUGUGACGCUGUCUAAUUCUUUCAACUAUUUUUAUGGUGAUGUACAACUCUAUUUGGUGAAACUAUGCUUGUUUGCUCAAAUUUUGUUAGGUUUUUUGUUCAAAUUUUGCAAAAGAGGCUAAAUUGCUCAGUUUUCUUGUAUGUAAAUUUAUGUUUCAGUAAUAAACUAGAUGCUUAAACUGAAAGAAGCUUGUCAACAUUUACAUGCUCCUCUGUUGGUAACAUUUUGAGAGUUGUUUUCUGAAUCACAAUGAAACUAUAUCGCAGGUCAAUCUUCAUGUUUUCAUUUGAUUGAUUUCCGCCAAAUAAUUUCCUGAUUGAUUUCUUGCUGUCAUUUGAAACCCUGUCAUCUCAACUCUAGAUUUUCAUGGAAAAUAGGAUCGGGAUGCUCUCCACUUGGUGAUCAAUCUUACACAAAUUUAGCAUGUCUGAUCAUUUUUUCCCCUGAUUUUGUUUAGCAAUUGUGAUUUAUAGGGUAAUCACUGUGUAAAAAUCUCUCUUGCUAACAUGAUCUUGAUUACUAUGUUGUUGUGAUUCUCAAAUUCAGUUUUCCAGAACAAUUUUUAGAAAAAUUGUUUGGUUUAAAACUUUUUUUUGAGAAGUUUUUGAAAAUAACACAUUAUUGAGAAAAUAUUUAAAAAAUAUUUUUUGCUAAAAUAAAUUUAUUUUCAAAAUCAAUUUCUGAUUCUGCAAAUGAGAAUCAUGCUGCUAAUUCUCUAAUUGUUUUUGGGUAGACAUAUCUGGUCCUAUGAUUUGCUUAGGACUCUACAGGAAAGCUAAGGAGAUCUUAGGGAUGUCUCUCCAUCCAAAACCUAUAUUAGGAACAAAGGAUUUCCUUAUUUCCAACAGUUGAUGAUGAAAAGUAGUUAUUGUUGGGUGGCAAUGGCAAGAGUAAAUAAGCAUGAAAAUGCACCUUUUUAUGUCGACUUGAUUGGGGGUGGAUUAGAUAAUCCAUUUGUGGGGAUUAGCUAUCCAACCUGGACUAAAUUCGUUGAAACCAAAUAUGAGGGAGACGCUAGGUUCCAUUCGCAGGUCUGGCCAUCCUCCUAUGGGACAUUGAUUCAUUUAUUCAUAUGGCUGUUGGGCUAUUUGAUUUGCGAUUAUGCACUAUUUUAUGGGCAAUGGUGCUACUUUCUGAGUCAAGUGACAUGAGUCAUACAGUUAAGUAAACCAACACGGCACGACAUAAUUAAAAAAUGGACACGACAUGAUAGAUUAAAAUACGAGCACGGUACGACACGAGUCACACGACUAAAUUAGUGGGCUGACACGACACGAUUAAGUAUAUGGGCAAGCACGUUUAUAAAAUGGCAUGGCACGAUUAAAAAAGGCCUGACCGGGCCGAACAAAUGGGCUUGACCCGUUAAGUAAAUGGACCCGGCCCGGCACGAAGCACAAUUGGCACGAAAAAAAAGUGGCACGGCACGGCGGACACGUUAGACACCUCUAGGCACAAAGGUUCAGUGCCUUUGGUCUCUAUUCGGACGAGCUUGCAAAGAAGCAAACAUAAGAAAGAGCACACAGAGCUAUUCUAGGGAUGGUGCUCCGACAAUCAAGUCAGGGACCAAAGAAAAUAAGAAAUGAAAGAGCAAAUGACUGGCUUUGCUCUAGUUCUAGAGAGAGAGAAAGUGUUGAUCACCCGUCCAAGAGAAAGAAGUGCUCCUUUUAUAUUAUAGCUCGACGCAUACGGACACGCGCAAGCUGACUUGCUAGAAAGUAAGCGGUUGACCAAAUCACACCCCUGUAGACAUGAUUGGUAGUUUGCCUAUCACAUCAUAGAAACUUAAUGUGUGCGGGUAGCAAGUGAAAUUUCGCGUGUACGCUACCUGUUGCCCAGCAGCUCAGUAAGGAUGAUUCAUCGAGAUUGUUGUCGUGUUCUCCAUUUGAAUUCUCACGUUGAGGUCGCCGACCAGAGUUGCAUAGAGCGACAGUCCGGCAGUGGCGCACGGUGAAGCUCAGUCGAAAUUGUGGUUGCAUAUUUUAUCCCCUUAUAGCCCAUUUAGUUAUGUAACGAUUCUUUACUGUAAUCAUGGCUAAAAAUACCAUCCCGAUACGUGGGACUCUUUCUCAAAAAAAUGAAAAGUAUUGUGAGCCUUAAUUGAUUUAGCACGGACACUAGAUGUAACUUUGUAGGAAAUAAAUGGGAGAUUCUAUUUUUAUAGGGGUAUAACUAUUUACUGAAAAAGUGAGGGUAGUCACAUAUCCCUCCUGGGCAUGAACUCUUAACGCCGCUGGAUUCUGCAAAUCACCACCCAUUAAGCACCAUAAUGCAUAUUUUACAUGAAUAAUUUAAUAUACCUUUAUGAACAUUUAUGUACUUAUUAUGAUAAUUGAUGUAGGCCAUUAACUACCACCCUACGUUAGGGAUGGCAAUGGGGCGGGGCAGGGCUGUGCCGGAGGUUGGUACUACCAUCCCCGAUCCCCGAAAUUUUUUGUGUCCUCGAUCCCUGCCCCGAUCCCUUGCGGGGAAUAUUUUUGUACCCCCGUCCCUGCCUCCGCCGGGGACCGGGGAUCCCCACCCCAAAUCCAAACCCCGAAUCUCACAAAAUCAACAACUUUCAAAUACAAAUAAAAUAAAAAUAAAAAAUGUCAAAAUCAACAAACUCCAAAAAUACCUAGAUGAGAUCUGGCGACCGGUGUUCGCGUCGACCGACGAAGGCUAGCGGCCGCAGCAGGAGCAACGACGGGUAACGACGGGCGAGUCGACGACGAUUGAGAUCUGGUAGUGGGUCUCCCUCUCGGCCUAUCCCCUUCCCCUCUCUGUUCUUGCGUGAGAUUUGGUGGACCAGUGGUGGGUAUCCCUCUCCCCUUCGCCUCUCUAGUCUUUAGUCUCCCUCUGUUUGUCCGUCGUCGUUGGCCAUGGAGAGAAGAAAGAGAGAGAGAGUUGUUUGUGAACGU
rnacentral:lncRNA from 1 species